AACGAACGCUGGCGGCGUGGCUAAGACAUGCAAGUCGUACGGUAUGUUGUAGCAAUAUGGCAUACAGUGGCGGGCGGGUGAGUAAUGAAUGGGUAAUGUACCCUGGACACAGGAAUAGCGUCGGGACCCGCAAGGGUUCCUUUGCGAAAGUGACGGUAAUACCUGAUGAAGACGUCGGAAGGAUGCUUUCGACGUUCAAAGGGCGGGGACCUUCGGGCCUGCCGGUCUGGGAUCAGCCCAUUUCCUAUCAGCUAGUGGUGAGUAACGGCCCACCAAGGCAUCGACGGGUAGCCGGUCUGAGAGGAUGGUCGGCCACAUCGGGAACUGAGACACUGUCCGGACACCUACGGGUGGCUGCAGUAACGAAUAAUCCGCAAUGGGCGAAAGCCUGAC
rnacentral:rRNA from 1 species